rnacentral:rRNA from 1 species
UACGGGGGGAGCAAGCGUUGUUCGGAUUACUGGCGUAAAGAGCGCGCAGGCGGUCGUUCAAGUCGAGUGUGAAAGCCCCCGGCUCAACUGGGAGGUCACUCGAUACUGAUCGACUUGAAGGCAGGAGAGGAAGCGGAAUUCCCGGUGUAGUGGUGAAAUGCGUAGAUAUCGGAGGAACACCAGUGGCGAAGGCGGCUCCUGGCC